rnacentral:rRNA from 1 species
GACGAACGCUGGCGGCGUGCCUAAUACAUGCAAGUAGAACGCACAGUUUAUACCGUAGCUUGCUACACCAUAGACUGUGAGUUGCGAACGGGUGAGUAACGCGUAGGUAACCUGCCUGGUAGCGGGGGAUAACUAUUGGAAACGAUAGCUAAUACCGCAUAAUAUUGAUUAUUGCAUGAUAAUUAAUUGAAAGGUGCAAUUGCACCACUACCAGAUGGACCUGCGUUGUAUUAGCUAGUAGGUGAGGUAACGGCUCACCUAGGCGACGAUACAUAGCCGACCUGGGAGGGUGAUCGGCCACACUGGGACUGAGACACGGCCCAGACUCCUACGGGAGGCAGCAGUAGGGAAUCUUCGGCAAUGGACGAAAGUCUGACCGAGCAACGCCGCGGGAGUGAAGAAGGGUUUCGGAUCGUAAAGCUCUGUUGUAAGAGAAGAACGGGUGUGAGAGUGGAAAGUUCACACUGUGACGGUAUCUUACCAGAAAGGGACGGCUAACUACGUG